AUUGAACGCUGGCGGCAGGCCCAACACAUGCAAGUCGAGCGGUAGAGAGAAGCUUGCUUCUCUUGAGAGCGGCGGACGGGUGAGUAAUGCCUAGGAAUCUGCCUGGUAGUGGGGGAUAACGUUCGGAAACGGACGCUAAUACCGCAUACGUCCUACGGGAGAAAGCAGGGGACCUUCGGGCCUUGCGCUAUCAGAUGAGCCUAGGUCGGAUUAGCUAGUUGGUGGGGUAAUGGCUCACCAAGGCGACGAUCCGUAACUGGUCUGAGAGGAUGAUCAGUCACACUGGAACUGAGACACGGUCCAGACUCCUACGGGAGGCAGCAGUGGGGAAUAUUGGACAAUGGGCGAAAGCCUGAUCCAGCCAUGCCGCGUGUGUGAAGAAGGUCUUCGGAUUGUAAAGCACUUUAAGUUGGGAGGAAGGGCAGUAAAUUAAUACUUUGCUGUUUUGACGUUACCGACAGAAUAAGCACCGGCUAACUCUGU
rnacentral:rRNA from 1 species